rnacentral:rRNA from 1 species
CUAAUUGCGUUAACGAACGAGACCUUAACCUGCUAAAUAGCUAUGCCAAUUCCUAUUGGUAGCCAGCUUCUUAGAGGGACUGUCGGCGAUUAGCCGACGGAAGUUUUAGGCAAUAACAGGUCUGUUAUGCCCUUAGAUGUCCUGGGCCGCACGCGCGCUACACUGAUGAAAUCAACGAGUUUAUCACCUUGGCCGGAAGGUCUGGGUAAUCUUUUGAAAUCUCAUCGUGCUGGGGAUAGGGCAUUGCAAUG